rnacentral:lncRNA from 1 species
GGGCUACGAAGCUGGUGAAGGGCCUGGAGCACAAGUCCUGUGAGGAGCAGCUGAGGGAGCUGGGGUUGUUUGGUCUGGAGAAGAGGAGGCUCAGGGGAGACCUCAUUGCUCUCCACAGCUUCCUUUCAGGUAGCUGUAGUGAGGUGGGGAUUGCUCUAAUCUCCCACGUGCCUGGUGACAGGACAAGGGGGAAUGGGCUAAAGUUGCGCCAGGGAGGUUUAGGUUGGGUAUUAGGAAAAUCUUCUUUACCAGAAGGGUUGUUAGGCAUUGGAAUGGGCUGCUCAGGGAAAUGGUUGAGUCACCAUCCCUGGAGGUAUUUAAAAGAUGUUUAAACCAUAUCACUAAGCUCUGCAUCUAGUGGAGGACUUGUUAGUGUUAGGUCAGAGGUUGGACUAGGUGAUCUUGGAGGUCUCUUCCAACCUAAAUGAUUCUGUGGAAGAUUAAGCAAUAUGAUUUUAUAAACUGAAGAACCACUGAAAAGAGAAAGAGGUGGGUAAGCUUUCCAAAUCAAUGCUGAACAAUUAUAAAGCUUUCUGAUUAUGGAUGGGUUUGCAUUGAUCGCUUGUCCCUUUCUAUGUAUAUGGUCUCAUAGGGUUUUAGAUACAUCAUCAUGUUUUGUGUUUUUUUUUCCCCAUAGGAUCCCUUUCGCAGCCUGGGCAGAGAGUGCACUUGCCGGACUGGUAGUUGUUCACUGUUGGUUGUGCUUCUCAGAAUCAGUCCCUGUACGUUUCCUACCUGCAUGCCGUCUGUAUCUUGCUCUGACGAUGUAUCAACUUUUAUAAUUUGGAGAAAAGAAACACCAGGCAUUUAUGCUGUAAAGGAUGACAGGAAGUGUUUCACUGGUGCAAAGAGAUUACUGAAUAUAAUAUUGGUGAAGAUUGUCUCAUUCUUCUGAAUGCAUCUCAGUGCUUGGAGGAUUAAAGCCCCGAUAUUUUUGGUUUUGUUUUGUUUUUCCAUUAUUUUUAACGUAUUCCUCUUCUGGCAUUCACCCAUUCCUUGGCACAUGACCAAGGUUCCCAUGUUGCCUGUUGAGAAGGAGGGUUAUGGAUAUGGAGACCUUAGUGCUUUGCAGGGGAAUAGUUUCCUCAUUUUAGACAGCAGUGAAGUCUUGCAUGUCUCUGUCUAGAAUGGUCUGGUAGAGGUUGGCCUGUAAUUAGUAGAAAUGUAAGAGGUGACUUGAAUUCUUUAAAAAGUAUAAUAUGAGAGCUGUGCCAGACAAAAUAAGAGUUUCCUGCUGUAGGCUUGGAAUUUGAUCAUCAGCCCUUACAAGAAAACAAUCCAGUGUGCCUAAAUCUUUAUGGCACCUGGGUUCUAUCCAAUUAGGUUUCAUUGCCUUUGUCGGUCACACCUUUUCAGUCUGCUUAGCUGGAUAGGUAUGCUUUCCAUCACCAAGAGGCAAAUUGGUCUGGCUAGGGAUAUGUUAAUGAGUGACGUAAUUCUAGAGGUCAUCAGGCAGUUUGGCUGUGCAUUGGGACACGUGUGACUUCUUGGUAAUUCCCAAGUUACUAAUGUUUUAGGUCUGUUUAUUUUCAGCAAAAUAUUAUUGGUGCAUGAAAUUACUGCUAGGAUCUCAAGAGGUUCCAGAGGAGAAUGUUAAUAUUGUUAGGAUCUAGCACUUUGAAAAAGGAGCUGGGAAAAGGUAUGUGAAGGCAGGGAGGUGGAGACUAAUUAUGGUCCCAAUUAAAAUUUCUGCAGGAAUGAAAAGCGUAGUCUAAGAGCUAACAUAGACACAACAGAAAGCAAAUCUUUCACUGGACUGUGGCUUCUGUGACAGAAACCAGG